GUCAGAGUGGUGUAGGGGUUUGAAUGUUGGUCUAGGACUUCAGAGACCAGGAUUCGAACCCCUGCUUGGCUG